AUUGAACGCUAGCGGGAUGCUUUACACAUGCAAGUCGAACGAGUAGCGGACGGGUGAGUAAUAUAUCAGAACGUGCCCAGUAUCGGGGGAUAACUACUCGAAAGAGUGGCUACUACCGCAUACUACUGGAGCGGCCGAUAUCGAAUUAGCUAGUUGGUGAGGUAAAGGCUCACCAAGGCAACGAUGCGUAGCUGGUUUGCGAGGACGACCAGCCACACUGGGACUGAGACACGGCCCAGACUCCUACGGGAGGCAGCAGUGGGGAAUUUUGGACAAGGGGGGAAACCCUGAUCGAGCCAUCCCGCGUGUAUGAGAAGGCCUUCGGGUUGUAAAGCACUUUUUGCAGAGAAGCGGUAUCUGCAGAAUAAGCACCGGCUAACUACGUGCCAGCAGCCGCGGUAAUUC
rnacentral:rRNA from 1 species